rnacentral:misc_RNA from 1 species
GGACUACUAGGGUUUCUAAUCCUGUUUGCUCCCCACGCUUUCGCGUCUCAGCGUCAGUACCGUCCCAGCGAGCUGCCUUCGCCAUUGGUGUUCCUCCUGAUAUCUGCGCAUUUCACCGCUACACCAGGAAUUCCACUCGCCUCUUCCGGACUCUAGCUCGACAGUUUCCACCGGCAUUCCAGGGUUGAGCCCUGGACUUUCACAGCGGACUUACCGAGCCGCCUACACGCUCUUUACGCCCAAUGAUUCCGGACAACGCUUGCCCCCUACGUAUUACCGCGGCUGCUGACAC